rnacentral:tRNA from 1 species
GGCCUAGGGCGCACGCUUGGAAAGCGUGUUGGGAGCAAUCCCUCAGGGGUUCGAAUCCCCUAUCCUCCG